rnacentral:lncRNA from 1 species
AAUUGCACCGGUCGCUUCACUGCUGUCUCCUUUUCCGGCACCAUUGACAGCACUAACCCGGAAUUUGUAUUCUUCACCUGCUUGUAGAUCAGUGACUGUAUAUCUUGUUUUCACACAUGCCUCUGCAUUUACCUUGUGCCAGUCUCCCAAGUCAGCUUUGCACAUUUCAAUAAUAUAUCCAAUUAUUUCCAUGCCUCCAUCAAACACUGGCCUAGACCAUUCUAAGCUCACAGUUGUCUUGGAUGUAUCUGUCACUUUGACCACAGUGGGAGCACUUGGUGGGCUGACUGGCUCUCUACAUUUGAUUAGUCUUGAGAUACCGCUUGCAGGUCCUAUUCCUGCAGCAUUUUCAGCCAUGACAUGGAACUCAUACUCAUUGCCCUCUAUCAGACCAGUGACUUUGUAUCUUGUCUCAGAGAUUGGUCGUUUGCUGAUCACUUUCACCCAUCGUGUGCUCUUCUUUUCUCUCCUUUCGAGGAUAUAAUGUUGAAUUUCGUUGCCACCAUCUGAUUCUGGCCUUGUCCAUGUCAGCGUAAUGCUAUUGCCUGUUACAUUACUAGGUUCUGGAGUGCCAGGAGCAUCGGGAAUAGCUGUGAAAUGAAAACAAAUUAGACAUGUUUGGUUGGAAGUUAAUCUUUUGACAUUAUACCACUUAGUGAAAACAGACACUUACUGUAUUGUAUUUGAGCAACCACUGGGUCAGAAUCAAGUGGCCUCCCAACACCAAACUUGUUGACUGCAGAAACACGGAAUUGGUAUUCAUUGCCACUUAUUAGUUUAGUGGCAGUAUAGCUGUGGGCUUGACAAUUAUCUUCAAUUAGUGCCCAAGCAAGUCUGCUGGUUUCCCGUUUUUCAAUGAUGUAGUGAGUGAUGGGAGCACAGCCAUCAUUGAGAGGAGCAUCCCACCACAGAGUCAUCUUCUCGCCAGUAAUAUUGGUGAAUCUUAUUGGCCCAACUACUUUUCCUGGUGUAUCUAUAAGAAAAAGUUUCCAGAGUUAAUUUAUCCUUCUCUAUUAAAAUGCAACCAGGCAUGUCUCUACCCCAAGACUUGUAAAUGGCAAGAUUAAGAAGCUAUUUCAGAAGUACCUUGUACUUUAACUUUAAUUUCUGCUUUUGUGGAGCCCGAUGCGUUUUUGGCUUCCACACUAUAUACACCACUAUGGUCCCGGGUAGCAUCUCUAACAAAAAGGCUGGUGGAUCCAAGGACAUCAGUUAUUUCCAUAUUCAUCUUCUUUUCAAUUUCUACUCCAUCUCUGAACCAAGUUACUCGAGGUACUGGACGUCCCUGCACCAAAGCUUUAAUUCUAAGGCUCUCUCCAGACUUAAUAAUGAUGCCAUCAAAGUACUCAGGGCCAAACUCUACAGUUGGUGGAACUACAAAAAAAAAAAGAAAUGAUAUGUGUUAGUUUGGCUUAAUAAAAACAUAAAUGUGUUUUUCAUUAGCACCAUCCUAAAGCAUAGAAGGUAAUGUUUAUCCUGUGUUACCAAGGGCUAUUAUGAAAGUAGGAUUGAUAAUUCAGAAUUUAGAUUACGGGGUUGAACAUCUGCAUGCUAUUAGGUUAUCUCCUUUUUAUGUCUGUCAUGUUAUUGAUUUGCAUUGCCACUUCUAAAAAGAGAAGAAACAUUUGUAGAUCGCUUACUUCCUAAUGCUGCUGUAUAGUCAAACAAGUUCCUAUAAGAGGUCAUCAGCUGCACUCAAGCAAAAUGCUGAUUGUACUGCUGGGUGUAUAUUGUAUUUUAGUAACUUUGUAAAGCUUGACAGUUAUUCUCGAG